GACGAACGCUGGCGGCGUGCUUAACACAUGCAAGUCGAACGGAAAGGCCCUGCUUUUGUGGGGUGCUCGAGUGGCGAACGGGUGAGUAACACGUGAGUAACCUGCCCUUGACUUUGGGAUAACUUAAGGAAACUGGGGCUAAUAUCGGAUAGGAGCCCCUGUUGCAUGGUGGGGGUUGGAAAGUUUCGGCGGUCGGGGAUGGACUCGCGGCUUAUCAGCUUGUUGGUGGGGUAGUGGCUUACCAAGGCUUUGACGGGUAGCCGGCCUGAGAGGGUGACCGGCCACAUUGGGACUGAGAUACGGCCCAGACUCCUACGGGGGGCAGCAGUGGGGAAUAUUGCACAAUGGGCGGAAGCCUGAUGCAGCGGCGCCGCGUGCGGGAUGACGGCCUUCGGGUUGUAAACCGCUUUCGCCUGUGACGAAGCGUGAGUGACGGUAAUGGGUAAAGAAGCACCGGCUAACUACGUG
rnacentral:rRNA from 1 species